UACGUAGGGGGCAAGCGUUGUCCGGAAUCAUUGGGCGUAAAGAGCGCGUAGGCGGCCAGGUAGGUCUGCUGUGAAAACUCGAGGCUCAACCUCGAGACGUCGGCGGAAACCAUCUGGCUAGAGUCCGGAAGAGGAGAGUGGAAUUCCUGGUGUAGCGGUGAAAUGCGCAGAUAUCAGGAAGAACACCCGUGGCGAAGGCGGCUCUCUGGGACGGUACUGACGCUGAGGCGCGAAAGCGUGGGGAGCAAACAGG
rnacentral:rRNA from 1 species